rnacentral:lncRNA from 1 species
AUUGUUGAUGCGAAUGUCUGGUACAUCUCCGUUCGCGUUGUCUUCAAACGGAUCGUCGUUAAGUAUACCGUCAGCAAUUCGCAUAUUGUGUAGUACCGCACAUGCAUUAACGAUUCUUCCUGCAAAACCAGGUUCAUACUGUAGGACCCUGUGCUUGGAAAGGCAUCUCCACGUGCUUUUAAGUAGUUACAGUUAAGGGUUACACGACAUUUUCUAGAAAACUAGAUGAGAAAAUGUUGGUACUAACCAAAUUCUCUAGACAAUACCGUUUCAAUUUCUGCAGCUGUUAAACAGCAACAAAAAGAGCCCGAAAUACAAGAAAAAAGACAACGGAGAUGGUGGACAAGAGAAUGGAUUUUACGAAGAGAAUUCCAAUUAAGAGGAUCUAUUCACUUAGCGCUUAAUGAACUUGUCCAUGAAGAUAUAGAAUCUUUUAUAGAUUCUUUAGAAUGGAUCAAUUUUAAUGGAUUAUCAAUUAUUUAACAAUCUGUUAGAUAAAGUAUCUCCAUUUAUUCAGAGACAAGAUACAGUUACGCGAAAGAGUAUUCCGCCAAUUCAAAGACUAUCACUGACUCUACGAUAUCUAGCAACUGGAGAAUCUUAUUGCAGUAUGGAAUUCACAACAAAAGUACCUACUUGUAUUAUCACGCAUCAUUCCUGAAACAGUUAGAGUAAUUUAUGAAGUAUUAAAGGAUGAAUAUUUAAAAAUCCCAGAUACUGAAGAAGAAUGGAAUCAUGUUGCUGACAAUUAUUUGGAACAAUGGAAUGUGCCCAAUUGCAUUGGUGCGAUGGAUGGCAAGCAUAUUGAGUUUAAAGUUCCUCUUAGUCAAGGAUCAUUCUAUCAUAAUUAUAAGGGUACUAAUAGUAUUGUUUUACUAGCAUUAGUCACUAAUAAUAAGCAUUCACUAAUAAUUAGUGAAUGCUCAUUAUCAGUUUAUAUACGUCAAUGUAGGUGUCAAUGGUAGAGUAAGUGAUAGAGGAGUUUUUUGUGAAAGUGAUUUAGCAAAAUAUAUUAAUGAUCCACGAAAUCCAUUAAAUAUGCCAAAAGAUAAAUCUUUGCCUAAUAUGAAUGAUUUUGUUUUUUUUUUUUUGUUAUUUUAGCUGACGCGGCUUUUCCAUUGCAAAAACACAUUUUGAAAUCUUAUCCAUCACGAAAUUUGUCUCAUGAUGAGCGAGUCUUUAAUUAUAGAUUAAGUAGAGAUAGAAGUGUAGUCGAAAAUGCUUUCGGCAUUUUAGCUAAUAGAUUUCGCGUUUUUUUAACAAAAAUAUAUUUAUCUGUUGAAUCAGUUAAAAAUAUUACGCUUGCUUGCUGCGCUUUACAUAAUUUUAUUAUGUAACGUCAGAAUUGCGUAGACAGAUGUCCGGCACGCUGCGACGUGUUGGGACAUGUUUAACCAUUAGGCGCGAAGGAUCGAGAAACUCACGCAACGAGACACCCGCCUCCGCGAGUCACGAGCGAAUCGAGAAAAGUCGUCUUGAGCCGAUUGGCCGAACCAAGCGACCGGAAAAUCCUAUAUAAGCAGCGUCCGCCCGACCCAGCAGGAUCAUUCCGUGCCUAUUGUUCACCCGUGUCACUUGAAAUACAUUACGUUUCAAUUUACGAUUACGUGUUACGUCCUUACGUCCUGGCUUUUAUCCUGCCUUCUCUUACGAUUUACCUUACAAUUAGAAAAGAAAAUGAUAUUUAUUUACACGGAGCUGUAGAUAUUAAAAAUUUGGAUAAUCAAACAAUUAUACCUGCGCCAUGAAAAAAUAAUAAUGCACAGUUACGUAAUUUAAAAAUUGUAAACGUAAAACCUAAUAGAAACGCAAUUUAUAUUCGUGAUGUUUUUGAAGAAUACUUUAAUACUGUUGGAAGAAUUGAAUGGCAAGAAGCUAUGAUUUAACUUUAAAGUAUAUACAUAUCUAUUUUUUAUUUAAUAUAAAAAUUAAAUAAAGAAUAAAUUUAUAAUUUCGUGCGUUAUCAUUAAGUUAUUAAUAUUAUAUAAAAUAAUAUUUGUGAGAGAGAGAAAGAGAGAGAGAGAAAUUACGUCUAUUAGAAGUUUAUUCUGGUUUCCCUUUCGGGGUUACCAGGGUGUUUUAAAGAGCCCACCAAACCCCUUACAAUUUCGUAUCCAUACAUACAUACGCCUCUACAUAACAUCUGUACAUAUACAAAACAUAAAAUAUAAUACCGUACAAAACAAGAAAUACAUAAUACCAAGACUAUCACAUUUGCAGCGGAGCGGAAGUCCCUCUGUCCCCCAACUUCUUCCCUAUCAAAAUCUCAUUACAUACAUUGCUUAUCUAAUCUCCUCCGACCGACCUGGCCAUUGUGCAGCCUUACAGACAUUUACCCCCCCUUCCCUUCCACGACCCUUCUAUACCCCUUUCAUCCCCUCCUAUUUUCCCCAUCCUUCUCUUCUUCUUUCUCCUCCCUUUCCCCCAUUCCCUCUUUCUGCCUCCUCCGGAUCCCUUCUCUGCCGUUUCCAAGUAAUUCCUUUCUGCUCCUCUCUCACUCCGUCUGACUGUCCUCCCCCGAACUCUAAAUCUUCCGGCUCCUACCCUCUCCUCUGCCUCUUCUUCUCUUCCCUGUCUCUCUUCUCUCCAGUUUCUGUUCCUUAUCACCUCCUUUAACUCCUUCUACUUAUAACCAAAAACAACUUACAGUUUUCUUUUUGAAAUCUCCCUAUCCUC